AACGACUCUCGGCAACGGAUAUCUCGGCUCUCGCAUCGAUGAAGAACGCAGCGAAAUGCGAUACUUGGUGUGAAUUGCAGAAUCCCGCGAACCAUCGAGUUUUUGAACGCAAGUUGCGCCCAAAGCCAUUCGGCCGAGGGCACGUCUGCCUGGGUGUCACGC
rnacentral:rRNA from 4 species